GGGUUGUCCAGGAUUGUCUAUGGAUUGGGACUUUUAAUCCGUUUGUCGUGGGUUCGACCCCCGCACGUCCCACCA
rnacentral:tRNA from 1 species